rnacentral:rRNA from 1 species
UACGUAGGGUGCGAGCGUUGUCCGGAAUUACUGGGCGUAAAGAGCUCGUAGGUGGUUUGUCGCGUUGUUCGUGAAAACUCACAGCUUAACUGUGGGCGUGCGGGCGAUACGGGCAGACUGGAGUACUGCAGGGGAGACUGGAAUUCCUGGUGUAGCGGUGGAAUGCGCAGAUAUCAGGAAGAACACCCGUGGCGAAGGCGGCUCUCUGGGACGGUACUGACGCUGAGACGCGAAAGCGUGGGGAGCGAACGGG